UUGCAUCUGUAUCCAAAAUUCAUCAAUAUUUGUAAUCUCUGCGGCUGCAUAGAGCUAGCGAGAAAGAGGACCAUCCGCCAUUGCUAAUUACGCCAUUACGCCAAUGGCGCUUUCGAUUUCAACUCUGAACCAUUUCGCAUCCACACAACUCAAAUGCUUUCCUUCCAACUUCACCAUUCUCGCCUCCUCCUUUUCCUAUCUUGUUCCUUCUUCUGCCUCCUCUGCCUUCUCGCCGAGGAGAUUUUCUGCGCUGGCCAUUCCUAAACGCUGUCGUUUCCGACGCGUUUCUGCUGCCUCUGCUGCUUCUGGAGAUGACGAUUCCCGACGGGCUGGUGAACUUUCGUCCCUCUCACCUGAAGUUGUUGUUCUCAAUGUUGAGGGUAUGAUGUGCGAGGGAUGUGCAGAUAGUGUGAAAAAGCUUCUGGAGAGUCGACCUCAAGUAUCAUCUGCUAGCGUAAAUCUGACAGAAAAACUAGCAACAUUUUGGCCAGCACCUGAAGCAAAAACUGAAUCAAAUUGGCAUAAUAAAUUAGGAGGUGGACUUGCAGAGCAUUUAACAAACUGCGGCUUCAAGCCUAGCCUUCAAGGUCAGGAAGAUGGAGACUGAAGGAGUUAUACCAUAAAAGAGAGGGUGGUCAUCUGGAGUCAAGGGUAUUUCAACAAUUCACAUGUGAAGUGAGCAUGAUGUCAAAAGUUCGAUCCUUGCCCCAUUCCAUUACUUCCAAGGCUUAGGAGCCUUCUUUGUACUGGAAUCCAACAUUAAAGUAUUUUCUUUUGAAGAUUUAUUUCAUCUACAAUGUCCAGUACACAUACAUACGUAUUGUGUGUAUCAAAAUAAAAUUCACUUGUAGUUUAUAAUUUGAUAUUGGGAGACCCUAAUAAUUUGUUUAUAACAAAAUAAAUAAAGCCUUACUGUAAGCCUUUGAACGAAAA